rnacentral:rRNA from 1 species
UACGUAGGGGGCAAGCGUUGUCCGGAAUCAUUGGGCGUAAAGCGCGUGCAGGCGGCCGACUAAGUCAGGUGUGAAAGCCCGGGGCUCACCUCCGGAAGUGCGCUUGAAACUGGUCGGCUAGAGUACGGGAGAGGGAAGCGGAAUUCCUGGUGUAGCGGUGAAAUGCGUAGAUAUCAGGAGGAACACCGGCGGCGAAGGCGGCUUCCUGGACCGAUACUGACGCUGAGACGCGAAAGCGUGGGGAGCAAACAGG